UAGGGCGCGAGCGUUGUCCGGAUUUAUUGGGCGUAAAGAGCUCGUAGGCGGCUCGUUGCGUCGGCUGUGAAAACCCGCAGCUCAACUGUGGGCUUGCAGCUGAUACGGGCGGGCUGGAGUUCGGUAGGGGAGACUGGAAUUCCUGGUGUAGCGGUGGAAUGCGUAGAUAUCGAGAGGAACACCUGCGGCGAAGGCGGGUUGCUGGGCCGACACUGACGCUGAGGUGCGAAAGCGUGGGGAGCAAACAGG
rnacentral:rRNA from 1 species